AUUGAACGCUGGCGGCAGGCCUAACACAUGCAAGUCGAACGAGUGGCGGACGGGUGAGUAAUGUCUGGGAAACUGCCCGAUGGAGGGGGAUAACUACGGGAAACGGUAGCUAAUACCGCAUACCAUCGGAUGUGCCCAGAUGGGAGUAGCUAGUAGGUGGGGUAACGGCUAACCUAGGCGACGAUCCAUAGCAGGUCUGAGAGGAUGACCAGCGCCACUGGACCUGAGACUCGGGCCAGUAUCCUACGAGAGCCAGCAGAGGGGAAUAUUGCACAAUGGGAGCAAGCCUGAUGCAGAAAUGCCGCGUGUAUGAAGAAGGCCGUCGGGUUGUAAAGUACUUUCAGCGAGGAGGCGUGACUCGCAGAAGAAGCACCGGCUAACUCCGAGCCAGCCGCCGCGGUAAUAC
rnacentral:rRNA from 1 species